rnacentral:rRNA from 1 species
UACGUAGGUGGCAAGCGUUGUCCGGAAUUACUGGGCAUAAAGGGUGCGUAGGUGGUUUGUUAAGUCAGGGGUGAAAUCCCGCGGCCCAACCGUGGAACUGCCUUUGAUACUGGCGAACUUGAGUGCGUGAGGGGUAGGGGGAACGAGCAGUGUAGCGGUGAAAUGCGUAGAUAUUGCUCGGAAGGCCAGAGCCGAAGGGGCCCUACUGGUGCGCAACUGACACUGAGGCACGAAAGCGUGGGGAGCAAACAGG